CUCUACAACUGGAGAAGGAGAAAGAGCAAAAGGAGAAGUAGCCUGGUAUAAUAUUUUGGUAAGGGUGUUAAAUAAAGAGAAGGAGAAUACUUGGCGAGUGUGUAAGUGGGCAGUGGGGUUAAAGUAACAAAGCACUUAAACCCAUGAACCAUGAAGAAGGAGAGAGAGAGAGGUUAAUCGAAUCCAAGCAUUGGGAUGUCCGUUUCUGAAGAGUAUUUAAGAUAAGAAAGUGAGUGUUGGGGCCGUCGCGUCGUUGUAAGAGUAAAGUCGUAUGAUCCUCUUCUCUCUUACUACCUUCC
rnacentral:misc_RNA from 1 species